CCUACGGGUGGCUGCAGUGGGGAAUAUUGCGCAAUGGGCGAAAGCCUGACGCAGCGACGCCGCGUGAGGGAUGAAGGUCUUCGGAUCGUAAACCCCUGUCAGCAGGGAAGAACGGUCACUGUGCUAAUCAGCAGUGAAUUGACGGUACCUGCAAAGGAAGCACCGGCUAACUCCGGGCCAGCAGCCGCGGUAAUACGGAGGGUGCGAGCGUUAAUCGGAAUGACUGGGCGUAAAGGGCGCGUAGGCGGUAUGUCAAGUCAAGGGUGAAAGCCCCGCGCUCAACGUGGGAACUGCCGUUGAAACUGGCAGACUGGAGUGGGUGAGAGGAAAGUGGAAUUCCAGGUGUAGGAGUGAAAUCCGUAGAUAUCUGGAGGAACAUCGGUGGCGAAGGCGACUAUCUGGCACAUAACUGACGCUGAGGAGCGAAAGCGUGGGUAGCAAACAGGAUUAGAUACCCUAGUAGUC
rnacentral:rRNA from 1 species